GAUGAACGCUGGCGGCGUGCCUAAUACAUGCAAGUCGAGCGAACAGACGAGGAGCUUGCUCCUCUGACGUUAGCGGCGGACGGGUGAGUAACACGUGGAUAACCUACCUAUAAGACUGGGAUAACUUCGGGAAACCGGAGCUAAUACCGUAUAAUAUAUUGAACCGCAUGGUUCAAUAGUGAAAGACGGUUUUGCUGUCACUUAUAGAUGGAUCCGCGCCGCAUUAGCUAGUUGGUAAGGUAACGGCUUACCAAGGCGACGAUGCGUAGCCGACCUGAGAGGGUGAUCGGCCACACUGGAGCUGAGACACGGUCCAGACUCCUACGGGAGGCAGCAGUAGGGAAUCUUCCGCAAUGGGCGAAAGCCUGACGGAGCAACGCCGCGUGAGUGAUGAAGGUCCUCGGAUCGUAAAACUCUGUUAUUAGGGAAGAACAAAUGUGUAAGUAACUAUGCACGUCUUGACGGUACCUAAUCAGAAAGCCACGGCUAACUACGUG
rnacentral:rRNA from 1 species